rnacentral:rRNA from 1 species
GACGAACGCUGGCGGCGUGCUUAACACAUGCAAGUCGAACGGAAAGGCCCUGCUUUUGUGGGGUGCUCGGGUGGCGAACGGGUGAGUAACACGUGAGUAACCUGCCCUUGACUUUGGGAUAACUUCAGGAAACUGGGGCUAAUACCGGAUAGGAGCUCCUGCUGCAUGGUGGGGGUUGGAUAGUUUCGGCGGUUGGGGAUGGACUCGCGGCUUAUCAGCUUGUUGGUGGGGUAGUGGCUUACCAAGGCUUUGACGGGUAGCCGGCCUGAGAGGGUGACCGGCCAAAUUGGGACGGGGAUACGGCCCAGACUCCUACGGGAGGCAGCAGUGGGGAAGAUUGCACAAUGGGCGGAAGCCUGAUGCAGCAACGCAGCGUGCGGGAUGACGGCCUUCGGGUUGUAAACCGCUUUCGCCUGUGACGAAGCGUGAGUGACGGUAAUGGGUAAAGAAGCACCGGCUAACUACGUG